CCCACGCCCUUUCGGACCAGAGCCUAAAUCUGGCGCCUUAGACCACUCGGCCAAACCGUCGUUAUGUUGUAACGCUUGUCUUCUACAACUAUUUAACGUAAUGAUUUCACAUAAAGAGCAGCCAUUUUUUCACGGUUUCUUCCUGUUGGAUCUUCUGCACCGUACCGACAAAACUGAAUCUCUGUCGUUCCUAAUGGAGGGAUGACUGGGAAAAACGCCGCACUGAAAAGAGGAGGAGGAAUAUCUGAUAAUUGAGCCUAACCAGUAAAUACCCAGCAGCAGUCCUUUUCCUUCAAUUUUCUAUUCCUUGUUUUUACAUUUUGGUCAGAGUGAUUGUUAUUGUAUUAACCGUCACUUGUUCCAGAAUUGAAGUUCUAUGCACCCAAUUAAAAUCACUUGCUGCAGCUUCAGACUAAUAGAGUGCGAUGGGCAAUUGAAGACGAGCAUCUCUUUUACUAUCUGAUUAUGGUCACACACCAGGAAAAAGGUGAUUGGGACUUUUGGUUUGCUGGUUGAUUCAAGCCUAUUGUCUAAGCUGUCGUGUAUCUUUUUCCAACCUAUCUGCUGGAUAUUUUUUUGAUAUCUUUAUAAUUCUCAGGGAUACCUUCCAGGUUUUGGUUUUGUUUUCAAAGUGAGUAACUUUUAUUGUCUUAAGUUAUCUUUCCCCAUCAGCCUUUGGCAAUUCCUUGAAGUAUAAGCUCGUUUCAUUGAUAUUUUAAUUUUUAAGUUAUAAUUUAUCAUCAUACUUCAAGAUAUCAGCUUGAUAUUUAAACAGUGUAGGAGCAUUGGUAUGGGAUAUGGAUGAAUAUGAGUUGUGCACUUAAAGGGUAUAACAGAGCCUAGAGCAUUUAAGUACAAGUAAUUGGAUUCCGCUGAACCCGUACCUAAUAGGCUAGCUCCGGCUCUGCCUGUAUGAUGAUGUGUGCAACUUGUGUGCUGUUUCGUAGUAUUGGAGAAGUUUUUGCUGAUAAUUGUCCAUAUGUUUCUGAGAGAAUUAAUGGUUUUAUACAGUUGUUUUGGGAUCACAGGAUGCAGAUGAUCAUGUUACUUCUAUUCAGCAUGUAUUCAAACAUACGUGUAACAUAUUUUACACAUAUGGAGAGAGACGUUUUGGAAGAAAAUGAAUUAAAUGGACUGUACAUAAAAGACAGUAAGAUAAUGGAUAUGGUCGCCUAGUAGCUACAAAAGAGAUAAGUAGCUUUUUUGGUUCUUGUAUUAUUAAUAAUCAUGAGGAGGAAGAAACAGCCAACUUUAGGACUUUAACUUCAACUCAAGAUUCCUAUUCUUUUGAUUUUAAGUACACCCACGUAUUCUAUGCUGAAUUUUGAUUCCUGAAAUUUGCCCUAUUUUACUUUUA